GAUGAACGCUGGCGGCGUGCCUAAUACAUGCAAGUCGAGCGAACAGACGAGGGGCUGGCUGCUCUGACGUUAGGGGCGGGCGGGUGUGUAACGCGGGGGUAACGUACCGAUAAGACUGGGAUGACUGCGGGAGACCGGAGCUUAUACCGGAGAAUCUAUUGAAGCGCAGGGUUCUGGAGAGUAAGACGGUUUGGGUGUCGCUUGUGGAUUGUCCCGCGCCGCAUGAGCUAGUGGGUAAGGUAACGGCUUACCAAGGCAACGAUGCGGAGCCGACCUGAGAGGGUGAUCGGCCACACUGGAACUGAGACACGGUCCAGACUCCUACGGGAGGCAGCAGUAGGGAAUCUUCCGCAAUGGGCGAAAGCCUGACGGAGCAACGCCGCGUGAGUGAUGAAGGUCUUCGGAUCGUAAAACUCUGUUAUUAGGGAAGAACACAUGUGUAAGUAACUAUGCACGUCUUGACGGUACCUAAUCAGAAAGCCACGGCUAACUACGUG
rnacentral:rRNA from 1 species